rnacentral:lncRNA from 1 species
UUUCGUACUUCUUUGGGUAGCAUCCUUGUUGUUUGAACUCAAGAUUGCAGCUAAUAAGGUUUUAAAAAGUGCCCAUGGUAUUGUCACAGCUGAGCUACCACAUAGUGGAUAUUCAGUAUGCAACAGCAUAUAUGGAUAAAUAUACAAUUAGUAUUUUAGAAAAAUAAAGAAAUAAGUUUGAUGACAGUAGAUAGAAUUCAGAAUAUACUUCCACCGUUAUUUUAAUCUUUUCUGGUAUGUUAAUGCUGCAACUUACAAUCCAUCAUGCAGCCUAGCUGGAUAUCAGGACUGCAUUGGACUGUUCUGGUGCAAUCACUACACCGCAUUGACAUAAUGGGUGCAUAUGCAGCUCUGUAGACUGCAUUUUAACGUACUAACACUGCAGCUUCUUUUUAAUAGCAGAAAAAUAUGAAGAUUCUGAAGUUGCCCUAUGCCCGGAUAGGAGCAUCUCCCUUAAAUCAAAAUUUCUACUAUUAAGAGAAGCUUGAGUGCUUUAAGUUCAUCUCUGUCUUGUUACAUCCAGCUUUAAUAACUCCACAUCGAUAUGAUCUCUCAUCAAUGUUGUCAAUCAACUAUACUGUCCCAGUAAAUUCAAUCCCAUAAGUAAUCCGGAACAGGUAUCUAUCCGUUCAUAAAUCACUUUUUAACUCUGAUCCUACUAUUUAUGAUAUGGAGAGAUAAAAUCAUGAUCUCAAAAUUGGAUCAUAAAAGUCUGCACCGCUUGAUUCAUCGCAUAAUUGACUGUCAACUGGUUUUGCUUGGGCACCAGGAUAAUGAUGGUUCAGACAAAUCCAAAUAGUUUGGCUUAGAACAGGUCAUAACAAUGUUUUAGGCUGAUAGAGAUAAGACUUCUCUUGAUAGACACAACCAAAUCUGCAUAUUAAAAAAGUAAAAACGAGAGAGAGAGAGCAAAAGAGGUUUUGACAAAUGAUAACUAAAACAAUAUUCACAUAUCACAUUUAUUUCAAAUUUUUAUCAUGCGUGUCUCAUUUUUUAGUUUAAAAUCAUGUAGUGCUAAUCUAAUGCGCAUUUUCUACUCAUAUUGGUAAUUGGUUGGGGCUAGAAGGGGGGGGGGGGGGUAUGUGGAGGGUGUGGCGGUGUUGCCCAAAAGGCUUUUAGUAGCAAAAACACAAGAUUUCAUGCAACUUUAAUGGUGAAAAAAAAUGGAACUGCACUUGUUGUAGGCAAACAGGAGACCUAAUAUAAGAAUAUUUUGGAUCAAUGGAUGCAUGACCUCAAAUUGAUAUGUGUAUUUUAUUGAAAAACAACUUUAAAAGGAAAGAAAAUGAAACAUAUAGUUUGCAGAAUGUUUUCUCAUUCCAGCUUAUUCUGUUGCGAAACUUAUUUCCAGCGAAUAGUUUUUGGAUGCUAUCACUAUCACUAGCAAACCUCCUGAGCCAUUUUCUCUGAAGGGCCAAAAAUUAUCCUAUGGAUAUGGUGAAUCCCGCAAAAUUUGAUUCCUAAAAAUAAAAACACUCCUGUAAUUAAUAAGAUAGAGCAGGUCGUCAUUUUCGCUGUGAUUGUUCUAAAGGGAUUUACUCUAUAAUGGUUCGGUUCUACGCAAUAAAAUUGUAAGAAUUUUGAAUACAUCAAGGUUAUACAUGGUAGAUCUACAAGAAUUACGAUAAUAAAGGUUUGAAAGCAACCCCUCCAUUGAAUCUGCCAAUUUGAUAGCAAAGACCUGAACCCUGCAAAUGUUCAACAACAGUUACUGUCUUACUGAAGAUAUGACCAUUCUCGAACGUCAUACAAUGACAUACUACUUAAAUCCUGUUCUGCAAUAUCUUUUGUCAUAAAAGAUCAAGGUGUCAUCCACAUAAUUCAAGAAAUUGAAUCAGAUCUUAUUAAGUAGACCACUAGAUCUCAAGAGCCAAAAUAAACUAUGAGGAAACCAGGACCCCUGCCUCCUACCUUCCAAGCAUCUAGGCAUCCAGCUGAUAAAUCAGUAAACACUACAUAUCUUUCACAUUGUCAUAAAGAUCUCCAUCCACUUUCUUCAUUUUAUAGACAUUUAAUCUCUGAGUUGGUCUUUACAAUAUUGUGUCGUAAGUUAUUUACUUAUAUAAUACAAGGGUGUCUACCUCUACACCACUUGCAUCGACUUGUAUCAGUACAUUUCAGAUUAUAAUAAUGCGUAUCUCUUUAGUUUUACCGAUACUUAGUGGCAUAGUGAAGCAUAUUGCUUCCCCACAUUAAACCAAUGCUCAAUGAGCCUCAUCCUCUUUAUAUUCUAAACACUCUCAUACACUUCUGUUUAAUUUUUUUAUUACUAUAUUAGAGGAUGUGAAGGUUCAUGUUAUACAUCAAAUAUGAUGCUCAUGUAAAAACAUCCUCCUAUAUCAAACCAAAAGCCUAGAAAUUAAGGUAAUUUAUACUGUAUGAUCUUUCCACAGUAAUACUAGUAAAUGAACUUUCCAGAGUACUGACUUUUAAAUGCAUAACACGUACACUACUGUUAACAGGUAAACAUAAUUAUGAGCUUACUUAAAUUGCUACCUUGUAAUCACAACUAUGUAAUGUUAGUUCAUAUGACAAAUUUAUUGAUACAAUGAAUAUUAUAAAUAAUGAUCAACAGAUAUAUAUGGGAUGGGCUGCAAUUCAAAUUCAUAAUAAACAGUUAGAAAUAAUGUUCAUUUUUCAGUAUAUAUAAAAUGUAUAUAAAGCAGUUACGGUCCAUAUCAGGGAAAUUUGAUCAAAAGAGCAUUUAAGCAUGCCAGAAAUGUAUUUCUUACUCUCUGUAACUUCAAAGGUCAGUCAGGCAGUUCCCUCUAUAACUAGAAUUUACAAAUAGGAAAUCUAAUUUCAUAUUCUCAUAAUCUCUUUAAAGCAAAUUUCUAAUCCAUAGAAGCUGCUAUAUCUUGUGCACAAGUUUGAAUUUUCUGUCAUACAACGUCCAUCUGGUGCAUUAGUUCAAGCACAGCCACACUUAUCUAAACAACAACAGUCAUGAUUCCUUCCACUUAUUUUGAGAUCAUUCUCUCUUAUGUAAUGGAGUUUUACUUUAAUGCUGUAAUAAUAGCAAAAACUUAAUGAAAGAGCAAAAAGACAAUUGAUUAACUUCUCAAGAUUACGACUAAAGAAAACUAGUCAUCAUAACGACAAGAAAUAUGACAGGAGAACCUUAUGAAAACAAGAGAAACAACAAAAGCAAAUCAGCCAAUAACCAAACAAUCUAUUUAUCAAAAUAGGCAACCACAUCAAGGUUUAUUUGUAUCAACCAUAUAUCUUUAGAGAUAUAAUCGCAAUCAACAUACAGGCUGAAGCAAAAAGUAUAUGCAAAAAAGAUUUAAAAAAGACAAUUACAAAAACAUCUUGCCAAACUAGGCAUCAAUUAAGUUUCAUCCACAACAUAUAAGUGUUUGAUCUACCUGCAACAGAAGGCCUUUGAGGAAAACAAAUGAAAUAUACUUUUAGCAUUGGUACUAGAUGUCAAAUAUUGAGAUAAGAAAAAAAGGUGAUAGGGUAUAUUCUUUCAUACCUUGCAAGGACAUUGAUGCAAGCAUCGAAUUCAGCUGCAUAUUUUAAGUGUUUGACUCAGCAGGAAGGAAGAAGCACAUAUGGGGAUACAUAGGAUAAAUUUUAAUUUUAACAAAACA